UACGUAGGUGGCAAGCGUUGUCCGGAUUUACUGGGCGUAAAGAGCGCGCAGGCGGUCGUUCAAGUCGCGUGUGAAAGCCCCCGGCUCAACUGGGGAGGGUCACGCGAUACUGAUCGACUCGAAGGCAGGAGAGGGUAGUGGAAUUCCCGGUGUAGUGGUGAAAUGCGUAGAUAUCGGGAGGAACACCAGUGGCGAAGGCAGCUCGCUGGGACGUAACUGACGCUGAGACGCGAAAGCGUGGGGAGCAAACAGG
rnacentral:rRNA from 1 species